ensembl:lncRNA novel transcript, antisense to NEO1
ACCCAGGAGAGAUAAAAUAUAAAGAAAGUUAAAGUUUCCAAAGGGUGAUGAAAUUAAUUCUUGGGCUUAGAAAAUAAUGACAAUAUCUCACAUUCUUAUAGUUCUUAUCUACCAACACGCUUUGGAGUUUCCUAGCAAAAAAAUUACCCGAGUCAGAGCUUUUGUCCCGAGAUUAAACAUGCCCUGUGACUAUACUGUUACAGCUACAGAUAACUCACACCUUUUGGUUGUAAAUGUACUAGUCUCAAAUUCAUCUGUUUGCUUGCAAAACAGAUGGGCUCUAUUGAGUGACAAAACUAAGCCGAUGCAGCUGAGGCAAUACUCCAACAGGGUGAAAGCACUCAAUCUGGUUCCCAUGUUUCUCCUGCAAAAGAACCUUCCCCUUGCUUAGCCAACUCUACUUCCCCUCCUUGAGGAAGACGGGAGGAUUCUCUGUGAUCUCCAGGGUGAAACCAUAUUAGAUACACAUGUGGAUCCAUUUUUACCAGGUAUGCCACUUAUUCUGUUGCAUAUGAAGGGAAAACUAUAUAG